rnacentral:lncRNA from 1 species
GACCCUUCAUCUGACGCCGGUGAGAAAGACGACGAACCUCCUCCUCCUCCUCCUCUAGGACCCGCCGGAGACCUCCCUGACCCUGAAGGUGCCGGCGGUGAAGGCGAAGAACCAGAUGGCGGAGAAGGUGGCGAAGGAGGAGACCCAGAUGGUGCUGGGGUUGAUUGUGUUGUUGGUGGCGCUGGGGUGUAGGAGGAAGGAGCAGAGGUGGAAGGUGGUGGAGGAGAGGCAGAGGCCGUGGGCGGCGGAGUGGUGGCCGGUGGCGUAGGGCUAGUAGGAGGAGGAGCUUGUGCAGGAAGAGCUGGUGGAGAGGCCGUCGCAGUUGGCGGAGGAGAAGUAGAGUUAGUAGGAGGCGCCAGAGGCGAUGUGGGAGCAGGGGAAGCUCCCGGCGU